UUCGGGGUCCAAGUUGAAAUCCUGUAAGAGAGUGUUUUCGGGCGAGGCCCCGGUUCUAAGUUUUGUUGGGAAACMCGGCGUCAUAGAGGGGUGAGAAUCCCCGUAUGUGGCCGUGGCUCCGAGCCCCAUGUGAAACCUCUUUCGACCGAGUCGAGUUGUUUGGGGAAUGCAGCUCAAAAUGGGUGGUAAAUUUCAUCUAAAGCUAAAUACGGGCUGGAGACCGAUAGCGCACAAGUAGAGUGAUCGAAAGAUGAAAAGCACUUUGGAAAGAGAGUGAAACAGUCCGUGAAAUUGUUGAAAGGGAAGCGCUGGCAACCAGACCUGUCCGCGGGCGAUCAGCCGCUGUUCUCAGCGGUGCACUCGCCCCGCGAUCAGGCCAGCAUCGGUUUCGGCGGUCGGAUAAAGGCUUGGGGAACGUAGCUCCCUCUCGGGGGAGUGUUAUAGCCCCGGGCGCAAUGCGGCCAGCCGGGACCGAGGACCGCGCUUCGGCUAGGAUGCUGGCGUAAUGGUUGUCAGCGACCCGUCUUGAAACACGGACCAAGGAGUCUAACAUCUAUGCGAGUGUUUGGGUGUUAAACCCAUGCGCGUAAUGAAAGUGAACGGAGGUGAGAACCCGUUACCGGGCGCAUCAUCGACCGAUCCAGAUGUCUUCGGAUGGAUUUGAGUAUGAGCAUAGCUGUUGGGACCCGAAAGAUGGUGAACUAUGCCUGAAUAGGGUGAAGCCAGAGGAAACUCUGGUGGAGGCUCGCAGCGGUUCUGACGUGCAAAUCGAUCGUCAAAUUUGGGUAUAGGGGUACGUAUUUGGUCUCAGAGGUGGCUAGAUUCAAUGCUAACUCGUUGAUAUAGGCGAAAGACUAAUCGAACC
rnacentral:rRNA from 1 species